rnacentral:misc_RNA from 1 species
GAACGCAGCCAGCUGCGUGAAUUAAUGUGAAUUGCAGGACACAUUGAACAUCGAUAUCUUGAACGCACAUUGCGGGCCUCCGGCAACCCCGAGGCCACGCCUGUCUCAGGGUCGGUUGAACGUAUCAAUCGUCGGUCGUCCGAAUCAUGCCGACGCAUUGGAUCGUCGAGGCGCGGGUGAACGAUACCCUACACGGGGGUUCGAGCGGGGGACGGUCCUUUCGGGGGCCGCGCCGUCGUCUCGAGCUGCUCGCGUCUCGUCGUCCGAAGAACAGAAGGGACCGCGCGACCACGCCGGCCGCACGUCCGAAGUCCGCAGGCGGACGGGGACGGCGACUCGGAUACUGGAGACCCGAUCGGCCGUCGCCCGCCGUGGCGGAACGGUCGGCGUGGAAGCGAAGGACCCACAGUACACGAAGCUCGAAUCGGCGGGCCGUCCGGCAACGGGCGGUCCCCGACUUGCAGACUUCGACCUGAGAUCAGACGAGAUUACCCGCUGAAUUUAAGCAUAU